AACGAACGCUGGCGGCAUGCCUAACACAUGCAAGUCGAACGAGACCUUCGGGUCUAGUGGCGCACGGGUGCGUAACGCGUGGGAACCUGCCCUUAGGUUCGGAAUAACUCCCCGAAAGGGGUGCUAAUACCGGAUAAUGCCUUCGGACCAAAGAUUUAUCGCCUUUGGAUGGGCCCGCGUUGGAUUAGCUAGUUGGUAGGGUAAAAGCCUACCAAGGCGACGAUCCAUAGCUGGUCUGAGAGGAUGAUCAGCCACACUGGGACUGAGACACGGCCCAGACUCCUACGGGAGGCAGCAGUGGGGAAUAUUGGACAAUGGGCGAAAGCAUGAUCCAGCAAUGCCGCGUGAGUGAUGAAGGCCUUAGGGUUGUAAAGCUCUUUUACCCGGGAUGAUAAUGACAGUACCGGGAGAAUAAGCUCCGGCUAACUCCGUG
rnacentral:rRNA from 1 species